rnacentral:rRNA from 1 species
AAGAACGCUGGCGGCAUGCCUAACACAUGCAAGUCGAACGGUAUGAUGCUUUCGGGCAUCAGAGAGUGGCGCACGGGUGAGUAACGCGUGGGAACCUGCCCCUGGGUACGGGACAACGUCUGGAAACGGGCGCUAAUACCGUAUACGUCCUUCGGGAGAAAGAUUUAUCGCCCUGGGAGGGGCCCGCGUCCGAUUAGCUUGUUGGUGGGGUAAUGGCCUACCAAGGCGACGAUCGGUAGCUGGUCUGAGAGGAUGAUCAGCCACACUGGGACUGAGACACGGCCCAGACUCCUGCGGGAGGGGCAGCAGUGGGGGGAAUAUUGGGGACAAUGGGGGGCA